rnacentral:rRNA from 1 species
CGACCUGAGCUCAGGCAAGGCUACCCGCUGAACUUAAGCAUAUCAAUAAGCGGAGGAAAAGAAACUAACAAGGAUGCGCUUAGUAACGGCGAGCGAACCGCGCAAAGCCCAACUUGAAAAUCUCCCUUGGAGAAUUGUAGUCUAUAGAAGUACCCUCUGCAACGGGCGGAGCUCAAGUCUCCUGGAAAGGGGCGUCAGAGAGGGUGAGAACCCCGUAAGCUCUUGCUUUGUUGCCCCACGAGGUGCUUUCGC